UACGGAGGGAGCUAGCGUUGUUCGGAUUCAUUGGGCGUAAAGGGUGCGUAGGCGGCGGGGCAAGUCUGAUGUGAAAUCCCGGGGCUCAACCCCGGAACUGCAUUGGAUACUGCCUUGCUUGAGUACUGGAGAGGGAACUGGAAUUUACGGUGUAGCGGUGAAAUGCGUAGAUAUCUGGAGGAACACCGGUGGCGAAGGCGGCAUCCUGGACCGACACUGACGCUGAGGAGCGAAAGCCAGGGGAGCAAACGGG
rnacentral:rRNA from 1 species